rnacentral:rRNA from 1 species
UACGGAGGGUGCAAGCGUUAUCCGGAUUCACUGGGUUUAAAGGGUGCGUAGGCGGGCAGGUAAGUCAGUGGUGAAAUCUCCGAGCUUAACUCGGAACUGCCGUUGAUACUACUUGUCUUGAAUACUUGUGGAGGUAAGCGGAAUAUGUCAUGUAGCGGUGAAAUGCUUAGAUAUGACAUAGAACACCAAUUGCGAAGGCAGCUUACUACACAAUGAUUGACGCUGAGGCACGAAAGCGUGGGGGGAGUCAAACAGGA